rnacentral:rRNA from 1 species
GAUGAACGCUGGCGGCGUGCCUAAUACAUGCAAGUCGAGCGAAAAGACGAGGAGCUUGCUCCUCUGACGUUAGCGGAGGACGGGUGAGUAACACGUGGAUAACCUACCUAUAAGACUGGGAUCACUUCGGGAAACCGGAGCUAAUACCGGAUAAUAUAUUGAACCGCAUGGUUCAAUAGUGAAAGACGGCUUUGCUGUCACUUAUAGAUGGAUCUGAGCCGCAUUAGCUAGUUGGUAAGGUAACGGCUUACCAAGGCGACGAUGCGUAGCCGACCUGAGAGAGUGAUCGGCCACACUGGAACUGGGACACGGUCCAGACUCCUACGGGAGGCAGCAGUAGGGAAUCGGCCGCAAUGGGCGAAAGCCUGACGGAGCAACGCCGCGUGAGUGAUGAAGGUCUUCGGAUCGUAAAACUCUGUUAUUAGGGAAGAACAAAUGUGUAAGUAACUAUGCACGUCUUGACGGUACCUAAUCAGAAAGCCACGGCUAACUACGUG